UACGUAGGGUGCGAGCGUUAAUCGGAAUUACUGGGCGUAAAGCGUGCGUAGGCGGUUCGUUAUGUCUGCUGUGAAAGCCCCGGGCUUAACCUGGGAAUGGCAGUGGAAACUGGCGGGCUUGAGUGUGGCAGGAGGGGAUGGAAUUCCGCGUGUAGCAGUGAAAUGCGUAGAUAUGCGGAGGAACACCGAUGGCGAAGGCAGGGUCCUGGCUGGCACCUGACGCUCAUGUGCGAAAGCCAGGGGAGCGAACGGG
rnacentral:rRNA from 1 species